AACACUCUUGCAGGGGUGUGGGGCCUUAGAAAAUGCAAGGCUCUGGUCCUUAAUAAAAGAGCUGCUGCUUUCGUAACAGCACCAUGUGCUUGGUCACAAGACAGAUGAGGACAGAGGGUAGGCCCUUCUUGGCCCAAGUUGGAGAGAUGGGGUCUCAUUAUACUGCCCAAACUGGUCUUGAACUCCUGGCCUCAAGCAAUCCUCCUGCCUCGGUCUCUCAAAGCACUGGGAUUACAGGUGUGAGCCACCAUGUCCAGCCUACUUUCUUUUCUUAAAGGACAAUGGAUUGCAGCAAUUUUAUUAACUAGGACAUUAUUAUGAGGAUUGCCAGAGUAUGAAUACAGUCACCUCAAGACCUUCUGAAGACCAUCUACAAGAAAUCCCUUAAGACUACUAAUUUCAGUCUAUACCCUAGAACUGACAAAUAUUUUGCAAAUGACCUCUAGAUUGCCUGCAAGUUUGUAGUUGGUGAUUACAAUAAUAUUUACAUUUCUGCUUUUUGUAAUAAUUAUGUACUAUUAAAUAAACAAUG
rnacentral:lncRNA from 1 species